CAGCUCUAAGUGGGUGGUAAAUUCCAUCUAAAGCUAAAUAUUGGCGAGAGACCGAUAGCGAACAAGUACAGUGAUGGAAAGAUGAAAAGAACUUUGAAAAGAGAGUGAAAAAGUACGUGAAAUUGUUGAAAGGGAAGGGUUUGAGAUCAGACUCGAUAUUUUGUGAGCCUUGCCUUCGUGGCGGGGUGACCCGCAGCUUAUUGGGUCAGCAUCGGUUUGGGCGGUAGGAUAAUGGCGUAGGAAUGUGACUUUGCUUCGGUGAAGUGUUAUAGCCUGCGUUGAUGCUGCCUGCCUAGACCGAGGACUGCGAUUUUAUCAAGGAUGCUGGCAUAAUGA
rnacentral:rRNA from 1 species